UACGUAGGGGGCAAGCGUUGUUCGGAAUUACUGGGCGUAAAGGGCUCGUAGGCGGCCAACUAAGUCAGACGUGAAAUCCCUCGGCUUAACCGGGGAACUGCGUCUGAUACUGGAUGGCUUGAAUCCGGGAGAGGGAUGCGGAAUUCCUGGUGUAGCGGUGAAAUGCGCAGAUAUCAGGAGGAACACCGAUGGCGAAGGCGGGAUCCUGGGCCAGUACUGACGCUGAGGAGCGAAAGCGUGGGGAGCGAACAGG
rnacentral:rRNA from 1 species